rnacentral:rRNA from 1 species
UACGGAGGGAGCUAGCGUUGUUCGGAUAUACUGGGCGUAAAGCGCACGUAGGCGGCGCAGCAAGUCAGGGGUGAAAUCCCGGAGCUCAACUCCGGAACUGCCUUUGAAACUGCAGUGCUAGAAUUCUGGAGAGGCGAGUGGAAUUCCGAGUGUAGAGGUGAAAUUCGUAGAUAUUCGGAAGAACACCAGUGGCGAAGGCGACUCGCUGGACAGACAUUGACGCUGAGGUGCGAAAGCGUGGGGAGCGAACAGG